GUGGAGUAUGCUCCAUAUUCCCUCCGCUUGAGGGGAGGCCUGUGUCGAAGCAAUGGUCAGCUGAAGAAAUCCCUGAUUAGAGAUAAACUUGCCUGUAUUAUAAAUGUACUGAUAUCAGAUCGUCUGCAACUUUAGUGUGCUUCUCUCUGUGUUGUGCUGCCACAGUGUAGAAUGUACAGAGGGGACACAACGCACAUCAACAGAGACAAGUCCUGGGCAAGAAAUG